CACAUGCUGAGACCUGUGGGUGUUCACUCUGCACAGUGGCUAAACGAAGGGAGGGAGGGCAGUGUACCCGCAAUCAUCAUUCCAGAGCUCAUGCUGUGUCAGGGCCAGAUGCCUGCUGCUGCCACAGCUGUAUUUCAGGAAGCCCAGCCUGUGAGGAUGCCGUCCCCCCUCCGCAGGAAGACGUCAGACAGGACACUUUCCAUCACCCUGCUUCCUGAUUCCAGGCAUCGAUGCUGAGCUGGACAGAAGGAAAACAGCCUUUUGGUGUCUGAGACAACAGCACAAAUGACAGGACUGGCCUUCUUUCCUGAAUGGGAAGAGGGUGGGGAGAAGAAUGCUGCAGUGACCCGAGCUUGUUGAUGCCCUGCCACAGGCACCCCAGGUGGCCUUGGGCAAGUCCCUUCUCUUGCCUCUCCACCUGUAAAGUUUACAGGAGAGCAGCCCAUCUGGGGCUUGAAGGCGGGGAAGUGGCUUCGGAUUCCAACAUACCCCUAUCAGCAUUUGAAGAAAUGACUGGGAUACUGGACCUGUUUCGGCUGAGAAGGAACCACAGAGAUCCAGAUAAAUCCCCAUCUGAGGAGGCACAGAAGUUGGUGGGGAUUCUCUUCUGAAGGCUGACAUGAUCAUUACAAG
rnacentral:lncRNA from 1 species